AGGAUAAACGCUGGCGGCGUGCCUAACACAUGCAAGUCGAACGCGCUUUCGGGCUUCGGUGCGAGAGCGAGUGGCGGACGGGUGAGUAACACAUGGGUACCUACCUUGGAGUGAGGGAUACCGGCGAGAAAUCGCCGACAAUACCGCAUAGGCUUCUUCACAAGGGAAGCAAAGUGACGCGAGUCACGCUUUGAGAUGGGCCUGUGGCCGAUUAGCUAGCUGGUGGAGUAACGGUUCACCAGGGCGACGAUCGGUAGCUGGUCUGAGAGGACGAUCAGCCACACUGGGAUUGAGAACGGCCCAGACUCCUACGGGGGGCAGCAGUGAGGAAUUUUCGUCAAUGGGGGCAACCCUGAACGAGCAACGCCGCGUGCAGGAAGAAGGUUUUCGGAUCGUAAACUGCUUUUCUCGGGGAAGAGGAACGGACGGUACCCGAGGAAUCGAGCCCCGGCUAACUACGUGCCAGCAGCCGC
rnacentral:rRNA from 1 species